GGGACUCGGAGCGGGGUGGGGGGGGAGUUGGGGGGGUCUCCCGGAGCUGGGGUGCUCCUUGCAGCACAUGCUGCUGAAGCUGUGCCAGAUGUUGGGACUCACAAAUAAAUUUUUACAGUGAUUUUAUUGGCUGCAGACACACGCAGCAUCUUCUUGCGCUCCUCCUUGAGGUGGAUGGGCAGCUAGCUGGAGAUGACACAGGAUGAUGCGCAUCUUUCGCACGCUGGCUCCAAGAUCUCCGCUGCCAGUGACUUCAACAGAAGUGGAGUAAAUAAAGAUGAUCACAGAACUUGGAAGCUGACGAAAUUAAUUUUGGAAAAGAGCUGGCUUGGAGCAUGACAGAAGAAUUCGAUGGAAAGAGUGCUGGGAGCCCAACUCAAGACUGAUGUGUGCUUGGCAGGCAGUCUACCCCCGAUCUCAGUCCUCCAGCCUUUCGGCCUUUUUUCCUUUUUGGAGACAGAAUUGCAUCAUAUGGCAUCCUACACAGUCCUGCCUCAGUCUCUGCAGUGCUGGGAUUGUAGGCCUAUGCCACCUAGCCUUUCUACAAUACAAACAAAUAUGAAAAGAAGAGGGACUUCUUUGGAAAGGAGUACAGGGACUAUGGAAGAGAUGAAAAGAUAAUAUUGUCAGAAAUUAUGCCGCUUUUGAAGAGAUAAACUGAACUCUUGAUUCUGUGAGGUUAUUAAAGAAUAUUAAUUUUCAAAUCACGGUAAAAUCUUGAUUCAGCAACACAUGAGGAUAAUCAUUGUGUCCAUGGAAACCUUGGGAAGCAGUUGAAAGCCUGGUCCCUCUUGCCUGGAGCAUUAACACAACGUGGCUGCAAAGUUAGUCCUUUCCCGCUACCAUCUCCUGAAUACUGGGACUAACUACACGUAUGCACGAACCUGCCCAUCUUUGCCUCUGUUAACAGCUGCCACUGUCUCUUCACGACAUGAUGGCUGACCUAGGUUGGAAGGAACAGAGCCAGUUGGCCAUGGACUGAAACUUUUGGAACUGAUUCUGAGGAGUUAAUGUUUCCAUGAAUAUCUCAGAAGGAGAUGUGGACAAACGAACAGUUAUCUCACUCCUGUAGGUUGGACUACAGUGAUCACUGAGUAGGAGCUUCGUCUUUAAAAUCUGGGGUGUGCUGUUAUGCAAUCUUCUUUCCCUGCCCAGUACUGGAUCUGUGAAAAGCUGAAUCAUGAAUCAGUGAGUGUGCGGAUUGGAACCCAAGUUGCUCUCUGGAUAGAACGAAAGGAGUCGUGCCCCAAGAAGAUGGAGAGGGAAGUUAUGAAAUGCUGUGACCAAAUAACAAAUGCUGAUGUUUGGGGAGAUAACUGUUUCCCAUAGGAAAUAGAGUGAAUGCGAUGUCUUUCUUUUGUGAGGGAUUCAUAGACCGCUUCUCAACGCUUGUUACAUGUUACUCCUUUUUUCGAGAUUUUUAUUUACCUAACUGGGAAAGAAACCAGAACAAGGUUUUCAUUGAAUUCUGAUACAGGUAUUUAAAGACUUACGGACAAGAUAUAGAAGAAGAAGUGGUAAUUAACUGAUUAAAGAAGUACAGUUUAUAUCCAGUAGACAGACAGGCUCCAGACAUCCUUAGUGCUGUCUUAGCAUCAAAGGUUAAUCUACCUAAUACUUGUCAUCCUGAAAUGCAUGGUGGAACAUCCAACAGACAAGAGCUACUUCAGGGAAGGACUAUGAUUUUUGUCGUGGAAGACAUUUAACACAGGGCAGCUCCUGUGCACUUACAUGAUAGAUAUUGCUCUUCCGGGGACUCUGAAUGCUCAUCCCACUUUCAGCUCACUAGGCACAUCGAACUAGAAAUUUUAUCAUCUCGUGAAUUAGUCCAAUACCUGAAGGAGCAAGAGAACCAACACCCAGUUGACAAGAAUAUGACCUGUUGAUUGAAGACCAUUAAGAAAGUAACUUGAUUCAGUUGGACUGGACUUUUUUAUUCUAUUGAAAAAGGAAUUUAUUUCCCCUCAGUGAACGUAACAUGAUCAACAUUUUGAAAGUUGUGAACAUGCAUAGUUCUAUAAUUUACAAAAUAAUUAUAAAAAUCUGAGUAUGGAUGCAGCAUAAUUUCAGAACAGAAUAGCCAUCAUACUUUUUAUAUAUCUUAAAUUCGAGUUUUCAAGAGUAUAUUUCUAUGUUAUAUCCUUUGAUUAGUACAAUAUAAAAUCUACAUCUAAUAUGUACUUCAGGUUUUAUUAGAUCAUGCCAUAUUACUGUACAAUUUGGACUUUUCCAUUUUUAUAUAAAAUGUAACAUGCAUUGUACAUUAAUAUUUAUAUAUCUUGUUUAUUUAUAUAUCUUUAGAAUUAAUUUCUGCCAAUUAUUUUCUUUAUUUGAAUACUUGGGGUAUCAUAAAGGUGCUGUUGAGGUAUUCUCAAUAUGCUUGUACAACUUCCUGCCUGUAGUUAAUAAAUGUGGAUAUUUCAUUAAACAAUUGAAAUAUAACAUUUUGAUGGUAUCUGAUUGUAGUUCUAUAGAUUGUAAAAUAUAUGUAGUUGCAUAUCUUC
rnacentral:lncRNA from 1 species